rnacentral:rRNA from 1 species
CCACCAUUUAAAGAGUGCGUAAUAGCUCACUGGUCGAGAGACCCUGCGCCGAAGAUUCCCGGGGCUAAAGUACGAAACCGAAGCUGUGGCUGUAUACGUAAAGUAUACGGGGUAGGGGAGCGUUCCCAUAGGGUAGAAGUCGAACUGGAAGGUUCGGUGGACUUGUGGGAAGUGAGAAUGUUGGUAUGAGUAGCGAAAAGAAAGGUGAGAAUCCUUUCCACCGAAAGCAUAAGGAUUCCUGAGCAACGAUCGUCGUCUCAGGGUAAGUCGGGACCUAAUCCGAGGCAGAGAGCGUAGGAGAUGGACAACUGGUUGAUAUUCCAGUACCGGUAGUAAUUGUUUGAGCAAUGGAGUGACACAGAAGGGCAGGCAAGCAUGCGAAUGGAAGAGCAUGUGUAAGCGUGUAGGGUGGUGCAUAGGCAAAUCCGUGCACUGAAAGCCUGAGGCGUGAUGCGGAGUGAGCAGAGAUGCGAGCGAAGUUGUUGACCCCACACUGUCGAGAAAAGCUUCUAGUGAGAGAGCUACCGCCCGUACCGUAAACCGACACAGGUAUGCGGGGAGAGAAUCCUAAGGUGCGCGGGAGAACCCUCGUUAAGGAACUCGGCAAAAUGUACCCGUAACUUCGGGAUAAGGGUAGCCACUGUUGUGAAGUCCCAUGCGGAUGGAGCAUAGAGUGGUCGCAGAGAAGAGGCCCAAGCGACUGUUUACCAUAAACACAGGUGCCUGCUAAAGCGAAAGCUGACGUAUAGGUGCUGACACCUGCCCAGUGCCGGAAGGUUAAGGAAGGAUGUUCGGAUUAGUCCAAAGCAUUCGACUGAAGCCCCGGUGAACGGCGGCCGUAACUAUAACGGUCCUAAGGUAGCGAAAUUCCUUGUCGGGUAAGUUCCGACCCGCACGAAAGGUGUAACGAUUUGGGCACUGUCUCAACGAGGGACCCGGUGAAAUUGAAAUACCUGUGAAGAUGCAGGUUACCCGCGACUGGACAGAAAGACCCCAUGGAGCUUUACUGUAACCUGACAUUGGGUUUUGAUACAUUACGUACAGGAUAGGUGGGAGGCUUGGAAAGUUGGACGCUAGUCUGACUGGAGCCGACGUUGGGAUACCACCCUUGAUGUAUUGAAAUUCUAACCGCGAGAGUAACGAAAUCCGGGACAGUGUCAGGCGGGCAGUUUGACUGGGGCGGUCGCCUC